rnacentral:rRNA from 1 species
GUAGUCGAUGGACAACCGGUUGAUAUUCCGGUACCCGCUUUGAAGCGCCAGCGCUGAACCUUCUGAUGCUAAGUCCGUGAAGCCGCCGGCUGAGUCUUCGGACGAGGUCGGAGUGGUGGAGCCGACGGCCCGAGGGGGUAGUAGGUGAGUGAUGGGGUGACGCAGGAAGGUAGUCCAGCCCGGGCGGUGGUUGUCCCGGGGUAAGGGUGUAGGACGCCAGGUAGGUAAAUCCGUCUGGCACAUAAGUCUGAGACCUGAUGCCGAGCCGAUUGUGGUGAAGUGGAUGAUCCUAUGCUGUCGAGAAAAGCCUCUAGCGAGUUUCAUGGCGGCCCGUACCCUAAACCGACUCAGGUGGUCAGGUAGAGAAUACCGAGG